CAUGCAAGUCGAACGAGAGAGAAGGAGCUUGCUUCUUCGAUCGAGUGGCGAACGGGUGAGUAACGCGUGAGGAACCUGGCUCAAAGAGGGGGACAACAGUUGGAAACGACUGCUAAUACCGCAUAAGCCCACGGGUCGGCAUCGACCUGAGGGAAAAGGAGCAAUCCGCUUUGAGAUGGCCUCGCGUCCGAUUAGCUAGUUGGUGAGGUAACGGCCCACCAAGGCGACGAUCGGUAGCCGGACUGAGAGGUUGAACGGCCACAUUGGGACUGAGACACGGCCCAGACUCCUACGGGAGGCAGCAGUGGGGAAUAUUGCACAAUGGGGGAAACCCUGAUGCAGCGACGCCGCGUGGAGGAAGAAGGUCUUCGAAUUGUAAACUCCUGUUGUUGAGGAAGAUAAUGACGGUACUCAACAAGGAAGUGACGGCUAACUACGUGCCAGCAGCCGCGGUAAAACGUAGGUCACAAGCGUUGUCCGGAAUUACUGGGUGUAAAGGGAGCGCAGGCGGGAAGACAAGUUGGAAGUGAAAUCUAUGGGCUCAACCCAUAAACUGCUUUCAAAACUGUUUUUCUUGAGUAGUGCAGAGGUAGGCGGAAUUCCCGGUGUAGCGGUGGAAUGCGUAGAUAUCGGGAGGAACACCAGUGGCGAAGGCGGCCUACUGGGCACCAACUGACGCUGAGGCUCGAAAGUGUGGGUAGCAAACAGGAUUAGAUACCCUGGUAGUCCACACCGUAAACGAUGAUUACUAGGUGUUGGAGGAUUGACCCCUUCAGUGCCGCAGUUAACACAAUAAGUAAUCCACCUGGGGAGUACGACCGCAAGGUUGAAACUCAAAGGAAUUGACGGGGGCCCGCACAAGCAGUGG
rnacentral:rRNA from 1 species